rnacentral:rRNA from 1 species
AGUUGAUCUGGCUCAGGAUGAACGCUAGCUACAGGCUUAACACAUGCAAGUCGAGGGGCAUCAUGGAGUUUGCUUGCAAACUCUGAUGGCGACCGGCGCACGGGUGAGUAACGCGUAUCCAACCUUCCCUAUAGUAGAGGAUAGCCCGGCGAAAGUCGGAUUAAUACUCUAUGUUUUCCGUUGCAGACAUCUAAGAUGGAACAAAGGCUUGCCGCUAUAGGAUGGGGAUGCGUCUGAUUAGGUAGUCGGCGGGGUAACGGCCCACCGAGCCUUCGAUCAGUAGGGGUUCUGAGAGGAAGGUCCCCCACAUUGGAACUGAGACACGGUCCAAACUCCUACGGGAGGCAGCAGUGAGGAAUAUUGGUCAAUGGGCGCGAGCCUGAACCAGCCAAGUAGCGUGCCAGGAUGACGGCCCUAUGGGUUGUAAACUGCUUUUAUGCGGGGAUAAAGUUCACUACGUGUAGUGUUUUGUAGGUACCGCAUGAAUAAGGACCGGCUAAUUCCGUGCCAGCAGCCGC